rnacentral:rRNA from 1 species
GGCAGGCCUAACACAUGCAAGUCGAGCGGGGUUUUCGGACCUAGCGGCGGACGGGUGAGUAAUGUAUAGGGAGCUGCCCGAUAGAGGGGGAUACCAGUUGGAAACGACUGUUAAUACCGCAUAAUGUCUACGGACCAAAGUGUGGGACCUUCGGGCCACAUGCUAUCGGAUGCACCUAUAUGGGAUUAGCUAGUUGGUGGGGUAAUGGCUCACCAAGGCGACGAUCCCUAGCUGGUUUGAGAGGAUGAUCAGCCACACUGGAACUGAGACACGGUCCAGACUCCUACGGGAGGCAGCAGUGGGGAAUAUUGGACAAUGGGCGCAAGCCUGAUCCAGCCAUGCCGCGUGUGUGAAGAAGGCCUUCGGGUUGUAAAGCACU